GACGAACCGUGCGAACGUUAUUCGGAAUCAUUGGGCUUAAAGGGCGCGUAGGCGGCGGCGUAAGUUGGAAGUGAAAUCCCAUCGGCUCAACCGUGGAAUCGCUCCCAGUACUGCGUCGCUCGAGGGGGAUAGGGGUCUGCGGAACUACCGGUGGAGCGGUGAAAUGCGCAGAUAUCAGGAAGAACACCCGUGGCGAAGGCGGCUCUCUGGAACGCAACUGACGCUGAGACGCGAAAGCGUGGGGAGCAAACAGG
rnacentral:rRNA from 1 species